GUUUGGGUGUUUUCAUGGUCUGUCCUGGUGGUAUCAUAUGGUUUUAAAUCCACUGGAUUAUCUUCAUCCAAGCGUGCACCUUUAAAAGCUGUUGAAAAGCUAGAUGGGAUAACACUGCUUUGUCAUCCAGCUCUCCAGAGGCCCUUUCUUCCAAUUGUAGUCUCUCCCAAGUCUUAUCUGCAACAGCUGUCGCUGAAGAUGAUUUUGAUGACUUUGAUUCCCGGGAAAACUUCAACUUCUAGCCAGUGUUGAUAUAUUUUCUGCGAUGCCUUCCGGUAGCUCUGCAUCUUCUUCAACAAUGAUCAAUUUUUUCGCCACUCGAAGACCAGUUUUGCAAGCUAAAUCCAAGACUGGGGAUGCGUCUAUUAAUUCAUAAACUGGUGAUCCAUUUCUGGAAUGAUGUUGAACAAUUUUGAAGAGUCUAUUAGUUCACAGACUUUUGAUCCCUUUUUUGGAAAGCAGCUGAACAGUUUUGAUGACCGUUUUGAUGCAUUGACUUUUUAUACUGAUCAAAUCUCCAGAAAACCUACAGAAAUGCAAAGUUCUAUCAGUGAGAGGUGCCUUGAAAACCAGGACCAAAAUACUUCAACAGAUUAUAAGCAUCCAUUGAAGAAGGAUUCUUUUCAGGCCACCUCUGGAGUUUGGGCAGAUACACUAAGUCGUGGGAUGAUCGAUCUCAAUAUAUUAUCUGUUAUUUUGUCUAGAGGGAGUCUGGAACAGUCUAGAAGUCGCAUCCCCCAUCGAAGGUCUCGUGACAAGCAUUGGGGUCGGGAAAGUAGAAGGAGAAGUCGUAGUAAGAUCCGCAGUUUAAGUCCUGAUUACCGAUGGUGGUAUUCGAAGUCGGUAUGAACAAUAUUUCAGGAGAAGCAGAAGCAAGUCAGGCGGCAGGUGUUUGUAGCUGAACAUCCUCUCUUCUCAGAACUUACAUGUUGUGAAAGUCUAGUUCCAAUAUUUGUUUGGUUUGUUUGUAACUGGCCGCAAGCAGCAGUACACCCUAGGAUGAUGAUGAUGAUGAUGAUGAUAAAGAAGGAUUUAUUUUUGUCAGCUGGCAAGGAGACAAGAUGCUGGUGAAAAGAAGGAAAAUCCCAAGAAAGCAUUCUAGGUCAAGUAACGAAGCAUAUGUCGAAGACCCAGAAGAUGCAGCUGAAGAGGAAAAACAAGCUUUUUCAAAAUAGGAAUGGACAUGGCAACGUGGGAAGAACACAACCUCGGAAUAUUUUUUUCUCGUUCUAGAGUUCAACUGUAACUUUUGGUGAUGUAAAUGGCACAUGCCACAUGCUAUACUUCUUUCACUUCGAGGAAGAUGGGAGGUGAUCGGAACGAUAUAUAUCCUUCACAAGCAUUUCCAUUAAUUGAUAAGUUAUUGGUGCCCUGCUUUACAAGACGACCACACAUGAAGAUUACUUCACAAGCACACCAUUAUGAAGUAGGAAUAAGUUCUUCAUCAUCGUCGGAGUUUAUAAUUUUGCUGUUUAAUCAAUAGUCUUUUAGUUCAUCGUUUUGUAAUCGAAUCCUAGAACUACAUAUUACAC